UGAGGAAUAUUGGUCAAUGGUCGCUAGACUGAACCAGCCAAGCAGCGUGCGGGAUGAAGGCCCUCCGGGUCGUAAACCGCUUUUAGACGGGGAUAAAAGGGCGUACGUGUACGCCGUAUUGCAUGUACCGUCAGAAAAACGGACCGGCUAAUUCCGUGCCAGCAGCCGCGGUAAUACGGAAGGUCCGGGCGUUAUCCGGAUUAUUGGGUUUAAAGGGAGCGUAGGCGGACUUUCAAGUCAGUGGUAAAAUCGUGUGGCUCAACCAUACCUCGCCAUUGAAACUGGAAGUCUGGAGUGCACACAGGGGUGCCGGAAUUCAUGGUGUAGCGGUGAAAUGCUUAGAUAUCAUGAAGAACUCCGAUCGCGAAGGCAAGUGCCCGGGGUGCAACUGACGCUGAGGCUCGAAGGUGCGGGUAUCGAACAGGAUUAGAUACC
rnacentral:rRNA from 1 species